CCAAAUUUUUUUUUUUUGAAACAUGGAAAAAAAAAACCCACAAAAAAAACAAUUCGGAGGGGAUAUAGUAAUUGGUCUGUCCGUCCGUCCGUCCAGCUGAAACUUUGUCCGGAGCAUAACUCCAAAUCUAUUCAAUGGAUUUACUUUAAACUUAGAAUAUAAACAGUUGGCAACUAGGAGAAGUGCAGUGACCAAGAACCAUAACUCUAUCUACCUUAGUUUUUGAAUUAUCUCCCCUUUUAUAUAACUUUAAAGUAAAUUUUUGUCCGUAGCAUAACCCUAAAUAUACUAAAGGGAUUUAUUUGAAACUUGAAAUAUAAACAGAUGGCAACUAGGAGAAGUGCAGUGACCAAGAACCACAACUCUGUCUACCUUAGUUUUUGAAUUAUCUCCUCUUUUAUAUGAUUUUGAAUUAAAUUUUUGUCCCGAGCAUAACUCUAAAUUUACUGAAGGGAUUUACUUGAAACUUGAAAUAUAAACAGAUGGCAACUAGGAGAAGUGCAGUGACCAAGAACCACAACUCUAUCUACCUUAGUUUUUUAAUUAUCUCCCCUUUUAUAUAAUUUUAAAGUAAAUGUUUGUCCAGAGCAUAACUCUAAAUCUACUGAAGGGAUUUACUUGAAACUUGAAAUACAAACAGAUGGCAAGUAGGAAAAGUGCAGUGACUAAGAACCAUAACUAUCUACCUUAGUUUUUGAAUUAUCUGCCCUUUUAUAUAACUUUAAAGUAAAUUUUGUCCGGAGCAUAAUUCUAAAUCUUCAAAAGGGAUUUACUUGAAACUUGAAAUAUAAACAUAUGGCAACUAGGAGAAGUGCAGUGACCAAGAACCAUAACUCUAUCUACCUUAGUUUUUUUAAUUAUCUCCCCUUUUAUAUAAUUUUAAAGUAAAUUUUUGUCCAGAGCAUAACUCUAAAUCUACUGAAGGAAUUUACUUGAAACUUAAACAGAUGGCAAGUAGAAGAAGCGCAGUGACUAAGAACCAUAACUCUAUCUACCUUAGUGUUUUAAUUAUAUCCCUUUAUUUAAUUUCAAAGUAAAUUUUUGUCCGGAGCAUAAUGAAUUCUCUCCCUUUAUUUGUUUUUACAAAUAUUAUUCUACUCUCUAAAACAAAUGUUGUCAUACAAGCAAACACAUUUUGACGGGGAUUUGGCACUACUGUGACAAGCUCUUGUUCAUUUAUUUUUGAAAGACUGUCCAAUCAUCCCACCCAAGCGUUUGCUAUCAAACUUGAAAUAAAAUCUUAGUAGUUUGUUUUAUGUUUUUACAAAUGUUCAAUAGAUUGUGGAAAAUAUACCUGAACUCAGAAUCGUCUGUAAAGUACCACUUCUUAAAAACAUAAGCAAUCAAUAUGUUUUAAUUAUGGUCCUCUUCCACUUAGAAUAUGACUACCGGUAUAUUACCUUGACCUUAUUGAAUAUGAACAAUUUCCCCAUGAUGGCUUACAUUAUACUGUCAAGCACCCGAAUAGUCGAUUGGCUGUCUUCUGACAGCUCUUGUUUAAUACCUUAAUCACCUAGAGUUGUUAAUAUGGAGAUCAACAACAAGGAGACACCAUUAUUCUGAUACUUGCUCGAUCUCACAAAUAUUUUUUUGCUUAUUAACUAAUGAAUGUCUAUGUUUUUAAUUUUAAUUUUUCUGAGCUCAGGUUUCCAAUUUUGUUGCAUUAUUUAUUUGGUUGUUAGAUUGUAUUAUCUUUGUUGUAACAGCAACUACCAUGUUAAAAUUUAACACAAACUGUAACUCCUGUGUACUGAAACAUGUGUGUAUUAAAGGAAUUUGUAGUUCUAUUUUAUGAAGUCAUAACUUCAGUUAUGUAGGGAUCGCAAACAAAUUAGACUAUAUAUGCAAUAUUUCUAUUUAUUUGACAGCAUGAAUUGUAAUAUUGUUAAACAUGGAAUAGAUAUGCAAAUACACAUAAUCUACAUGUAGAUGGACAAAGUUAUUAUCCUAGUUGGAGUGUUAUUCUUUGUAAUAGAGUUCCUUCUUCGGGACACAUCCUGUGAUCAAGAAUAGCUAAAGCCAGCAAGGCCUGCAAUGGUAACUUUUUAACCAGACUUGUUCAGAUCUCAAAUGUCAUACAUACUCUGGGAAUAAAAGGCGUAAUGCAUGUCCCAAUAGUAUCGUCCUGGGAAAAAAGGCGCGUAAUGCAUGUCCCAAUAGUAUCGUCCUGGGGAAAAAGGCGUAAUGCAUGUCCCAAUAGUAUCUACCCAGAGUAGCCUUUGCAGUCUUGACACUUUCCUCUUAUAUGGAAUUUUUCGUUUAAGGAAAUCUCUUCUUAGAAAAUAUCCAGUUAAGUCGGAAAGUAUCAUCCCUGAUUUGCCUGUGAAGACAGCACCGGCUAACCUGGGACAACAAUUUACACGCCUUAAGCUCCGUUUUUUGAGAGCAAUGUUCAUACACUGGUACAAAGACUGACUUGUAACUUUUUCUGUGUCUCACUUUUUUUAAACAAUACAAAACUAAAGUGUAUUCGUCCAAGGACUGUAUUUGUCACAAUUUUUAUUCUUUUGCAAUAUGUAUGUAUUUGUAUGUUUUGUACCAUAUCAUUUUAUUCUGUUGGAUAUUUUUAUUGUUCAAUCUUUAAAUUUAGUUGUCAUACAUAAUUAUUCUUGUUAUCAGCUUGUAAAAAACUUUUGAUGCA